AAACUACAUCACCCUUCUACAGUUGUUCUGUGGAGACUUCAGUAUUCAGAAUAACAGAAUUCUAGAAUUGAAAGAAAACUCAACAGACUUUCAGACCAACCCAUACCUCAAAGGAAUCCCUAUUCUAACAUAAUCAACAGUAUAUUCCAGCAUUGAUGACAGAUCUCCAAGGAGGGAGAGUCUACAACUUCCUGAGGCAUCCACUUCCAGUCCUUCAGACACCCCAACACUGGCUGUGCUGAAAAGCAAGAAGAAUGUUCUCCUUGAAGGAAAAUUAUUUCCUCAAGUUUCAUGAACUGGUGUUGAAAAGAACAUGCUGCAACCAAACCAUCAGUUGCAGAGAAUGUAUCAAUUCAGAUUGUCAAAGGAAGUUCUUUCCCUGGCACUCCUUACACAAUGAGUCUGGUGUAAAAGAAAAUAUAGUAACAAUAUUAUAUAUGUAUUCCUACAAUGACAAACCAGGACCAUUCUCAAAAUACCAAGUGACCUUUUAUUAGUAAAGCAGUUCUGACCAGAAGCUUUGGAAUUACUUAUUGAUCAGUCAGUUUGACACUGAUAGCCUAUAGAUCAAUAGAAUCUGUCUUUAUCAGGAUGAGGAACCUCAGUUCAGAGCAUCCUGAGUUAGGAUGUGGAAACAGCUGG
rnacentral:lncRNA from 1 species